GACGAACGCUGGCGGCGUGCUUAACACAUGCAAGUCGAACGGUGAAGCGCUUGCCUUUUUGGUGGGUGUGGAUGAGUGGCGAACGGGUGAGUAACACGUGAGUAACCUGCCCUCUUCUUCUGGAUAACCUCAUGAAAGUGGGGCUAAUACGGGGUAUUCCGGGUCUGUCGCAUGGCGGGUUUGGGAAAGAUUGCGCCUUUGGGUGUUUUCGGUGGGGGAUGGGCUCGCGGCCUAUCAGCUUGUUGGUGGGGUGAUGGCCUACCAAGGCGGUGACGGGUAGCCGGCCUGAGAGGGUGGACGGCCACACUGGGACUGAGACACGGCCCAGACUCCUGCGGGAGGCAGCAGUGGGGAAUAUGGCACAAUGGGCGCAAGCCUGAUGCAGCGACGCCGCGUGAGGGAUGGAGGCCUUCGGGUUGUGAACCUCUUUCGCCAGUGAAGCAGGCCUGCUCCUGUGUGGGUGGGUUGACGGUAGCUGGAUAAGAAGCGCCGGCUAACUACGUG
rnacentral:rRNA from 1 species